CUGGACCUGUAGCCGCCGCCGUCGCGCCACGUGACCCGAUUGCGGCCUUGCGGGCACAGCCCGGGAACCUCCAUCGCCGUGCCGGCACCCCACCACCUCCCGUGGCUGUCGGAGCAAGGUUGCGCCACCGCUCCGCUUUCCGGGGGCUGCUGCGUAGAUUUGGCCCCACCAGCCAAGCGCGGGUCGGCGGAGGCCUCCACCAUUCCUCUGGUAGGCGAGUGUCACCAGUCACACACACAGGCGGCAGCGGCGGCCAUGGCGUCGCGUAAGCUUCUCCUGGGCCUCACUGCCGGAAGGCGGCUCCGGUCUCGCACUCACCAGCUCUUCUCGGUCGCCAAUCUCCUGGAAGCUAGCACCUCUCACUCCCCCGCGGCCGCCGUUGCCUCGACGCAGCCGUCGGGAGGGUCCCCGGCAGCGCUGCUGUUCUCUUUGAGGACCAUCUCGUCGACGCGUCAGGCGACACAGUCCGCCGGAGAUGCGUCCGGCCGGUCUGCGGUGGACCACAAGUUGAUAAUGCCAGAGGAUGAGUUUCAUAAAUUAGCAGAUGAGACGAUUCAUGAUUUGCUUGAAAAACUUGAAGAAUACGGUGACUCUAUUCAGAUGGAUGGAUUUGAUAUAGACUACGGGAAUCAGGUUUUGACGUUGAGGCUUGGGGAUUUGGGGACAUAUGUUGUAAACAAGCAAACACCAAACAGACAAAUCUGGCUAUCUUCACUGGUGAGUGGGCCUUCUAGGUUUAAUUGGGAUGCGGCAACAAAUGGUUGGAUAUACAAGAGGACUAGAGCAAAUCUCGUGCAACUUCUGGAGGAGGAGAUUGGUGAGCUCUGCGGUACUCCAGUAGAACUUUCAUAACAUUACAAGAAAUGUCACACUGCUAGGUUGGAUGGAGCGUAGCGCCCUGGAGAAUCAUGCUAGACCAACAAAUUGAAGACGAUCACUAUACUCUGUUGUAUUCAAGUAAAAGGGAUCAGAUUACAUUAAUAUUGAAACAUCAUGUGUGACUCUUCUUCCAUCAGCUCUGGGCUCAAUCUGACCAUGAGA